GUCUGUGCAGGCCGGAGGCUCCAUCACCAUCCCAUGUCACUAUGAUCUGAAUCACAUCAACCAUGUGAAAUACUGGUGUAAAGGAUUACUUUGGCACGGAUGUUCUUAUGUGGUACGCACUAACCAUCCUAAGAGCAGUAGUAAUGCCUUAAUCUCUGAUGACAUCAACAAGAGAAUCUUCACUAUGACCAUGACUAUAACCUGAAGUCAUGGGACUCUGAGAAUUACAGGUGUGUUGUGGUGAUCAAUGGAGGACCAGAUAUCAGGAUACAAUGGUUCUACCUAUCUGUCACUCCAGCUACUCCAGAACUCUAUGUGGACCAACAGGAAGUGACUGGAGUAGAAGGAGGGAGUGUCACUGUCCGUUGUUACUAUAGUAACUCUGGAGAUAUAAAGUGGUGCAGGAUGGGUGGUGAUUGUAAACCCAAGCUGAGGGGAACAUGGAGGAAGUCCACCAGAG